AAGUCGUAACAAGGUUUCCGUAGGUGAACCUGCGGAAGGAUCAUUAUUGAAUUAAUGUAGAGUUUGGUUGUAGCUGGUCCCUAAUUAACUUGGGGGCAUGUGCACACCUUUCUCUUUCAUCCCAUACACACCUGUGCACCUGUGAGACAGAUGUUUUCUAGAGGGGAAGGAACUUUAUUGGACCUACUCUUCUUGGACUCUGUCUACUUAAUCUAUAUAAACUCAAUUUAUUUUAAAAUGAAUGUAAUGGAUGUAACACAUCUAAUACUAAGUUUCAACAACGGAUCUCUUGGCUCUC
rnacentral:misc_RNA from 1 species